AUUAGAUAGAAUCUUCGAAUCCAACCGUUACGAAGUCAUCAGUGAAUAUCUGCCUCUUCCAUUGUACCCACGUCAACAAGAAGAGAAGGCGAAGAUUACGGUGUUCCAAACGAUGGCAACAGAGAGAUCGCGUAACAGUUGGGACAAGGGCCAUUACGUGAAGACCAUUGGAACUCCUUUAGGAUUUGCCCUUAUGACUGUACUACUUUGGGUGGCUUUAUGGAUCUGGAGAAGAAGAUCACACAACUCUGACCAAUUCUUGGAAGACGAUCAAAUCAGUCUUUUUGUACUGGAUGUCGCAUGCAACAGGAGCCUAAACAGACGAGGUAAC